UACGUAGGGUCCGAGCGUUGUCCGGAAUUACUGGGCGUAAAGAGCUCGUAGGUGGUUUGUCGCGUUGUCCGUGAAAACUCACAGCUCAACUGUGGGCGUGCGGGCGAUACGGGCAGACUGGAGUACUGCAGGGGAGACUGGAAUUCCAGGUGUAGCGGUGGAAUGCGCAGAUAUCAGGAGGAACACCGGUGGCGAAGGCGGGUCUCUGGGCAGUAACUGACGCUGAGGAGCGAAAGCGUGGGGAGCGAACAGG
rnacentral:rRNA from 1 species